CUCAAUUUCCAAAAUCUUGUUGAACGCAAACUGAACUCUAAAAUCAUUGCUAUGCAAAGUGACUGGGGUGGUGAGUAUGAAAAACUAAAUUAUUUCUUUCAAAAGCUUGGCAUAUCACACCAUGUAUCUUGUCCUCAUGCUCACCAACAAAAUGGAUCCGCUGAAAGAAAGCACCGUCACAUAGUUGAUACGGGGCUUGCCUUGUUAGCAAAUGCUUCCAUGCCGCUUAAAUUUUGGGAUGAAGCAUUCUUAACUGCUACAUAUCUCAUCAACUUGCUUCCAAGUAAAGUUAUCAAAUUUGAAACACCCAUUACACGACUUCUUGGUGUCACACCCAACUAUACAUCUCUUCGUAUUUUUGGUUGUGCCUGUUGGCCCAAUCUUAGGCCUUACAACACACGCAAACUCGCUUUCCGCUCAAAACGGUGUGUCUUUUUAGGCUAUAGCCCCAUGCAUAAAGGGGUUAAGUGCCUUGAUGUUCCUACUGGUCGGGUGUAUAUAUCCAGAGAUGUUGUAUUUGAUGAGUCCGUGUUUCCCUUUGCAUCCCUUCAUCCUAAUGCUGGUGCACUUCUCUGCAAAGAAAUUCUUCUUCUUCCUUCACAUCUUCGGUCUUUUGAUCAUGGGGGCGACAACAAUUGUACUAACCAAUAUGAUGAUAUUCCUGCUGGUACUAGUCUUUCUCUUAUGCCUGUGCAGGUCCCUGGAGAAAACGGUGCUCAAAAUGACCAAGAUCUCGAAAAUAUGGCUGGUUUUGAUCCUAUAUUUCAUGCUGAGGAAGGAGACGAAGCUGGCACAGAUGACGAAGAAGAUCUGGCGGCGCCUGCCACCCCUGCACGCGCGCAGAUCUCGGAUCACGCGACCGCAUCCGCCUCGGAUCAAGCCCCUGAUGGCUCCAGUCCUGGAUCCAGGGCGGGCCACUCCCGUGCUGCCGCGUCAGCUUCAGGCGGGACCAGCAGCGGGGCCGAAUCCCCCUCGCCCCGCGCGCCAGCGUCAGACGGGACCAGCGGCGGGACCAGAUCCUCUCCGCACCACGCGCGCCUCCAGUCGCGGUCGGGUGGCGGAUCCUCUGCGCCAGUGCCUGCAGGAGGGGCAGCCACACCAGAAGCCACAAGAUCC
rnacentral:rRNA from 1 species